rnacentral:rRNA from 1 species
AACGAACGCUGGCGGCAGGCCUAACACAUGCAAGUCGAGCGAAGCCUUCGGGCUUAGCGGCGGACGGGUGAGUAACGCGUGGGAACGUGCCCUUUGCUACGGAAUAGCCCCGGGAAACUGGGAGUAAUACCGUAUGUGCCCUUCGGGGGAAAGAUUUAUCGCCAUUGGAGCGGCCCGCGUUGGAUUAGGUAGUUGGUGAGGUAAAGGCUCACCAAGCCUACGAUCCAUAGCUGGUCUGAGAGGAUGAUCAGCCACACUGGGACUGAGACACGGCCCAGACUCCUACGGGAGGCAGCAGUAGGGAAUCUUGCGCAAUGGGCGAAAGCCUGACGCAGCCAUGCCGCGUGAAUGAUGAAGGUCUUAGGAUUGUAAAAUUCUUUCACCGGGGAAGAUAAUGACGGUACCCGGAGAAGAAGCCCCGGCUAACUUCGUGCCAGCAGCCGCCGUAACAC